GAGGUCAAAGGUGAGUCUAGAGUGGGAGGGAGGGUGGGGCCCUGGAUGGCAGCCCCUGGGAGAUACCAUUAAAGCAGCCCAGCAGCUUAGCACCCACCCCCAAAAUAAAACAGCCUUCCUAGGAAUAAAGACAACUUCACACCAGGUCCUAGUGCCCUCCAUCGCUGGCUCCAUUAAGACCCUGGAGGGGAGAGGCUGCAGAUGCUCAGAACCUGUCUGAGCAGAUUCCAUUCUUUUCCUAGAUGCUUUGUCUUUAUUCCCUCCAUUUUUCUGAAGUGAAGACAGCCCUGCCCCUCAGAGUUUACAAAGCUCUCUCAAAGCAACAGCAGUCACAUCUGGGAUGGGCAGGCAUGACAAGGAGUGAGAUCCCGUGGACUUUGAAUCACAGGGGAGAUUCUGAAUCUGGGCUGGAAUCUGCAUUUCAUACAACCUCCAAGGUGAAAUCUAGAUCCCAGGAAAAGAGAUGGAAUGGAGAAAAGAGGGUGGUUCGAGGCAGGUAAAAAAAAAAUAAAUAAAUAAGGGCUGACAAAGGAGAGGAAGAGGCUGAGGACACCGGGAGGUCAGGGGCCUCAUCCCUUUGAUGUGCAGCUAGAAGAGAGAAGGGCUCCCAAGCUUGGAAGUUCUCGAGGAGCAUCCCCAGGGUGCAGCGGGGGUGGAGCUGGGUUUGGGAAUUAGGCAGCAAAACUAAAAUAGAACAGUAGCUCAUCCAUGGCCUCCAACCUGGACAUCUGGGUUGAUUUCCAGUUCUUAUCCUGGUCUCACCAACUCCUUCAGGUGGGUCUACAGCUGACUACCUCCCCUGACUCCAGAGCCUUUGCCCAGGUUUGUCCCUCUCUCAAGAAUAGAUUAUAGCAGGAAGGGAAAGGGAAGACACCAAGAAGAACUUCCUGAUAGUCCAGGAAGAGAGGGGCUCAAAGGUGAGGUGAUAAAACCCAAGGAGACUUCCCUCAGAUUAGAAAGUGGAGAAGCUGAUGGAGAAGAUGACCAGAAUCAGGAAUGGCUGGUAAGGGUGAGGGUCCAAGGGGACGGCUGGAGAACACCCUCCCUCAUCCUAGCCUGUACAGAUAGACACCCCAAACUCUACUGCUUUGCUCCUGGGCAAAGGCUCCAUAGUUGCUUCCUUGGUGAUUUCAGCCACAGCCUCUGAUCAAAACUCCCUACGUCCACGCUCACCUCCGAUUGUCGGUUGUUCUCCACAGAGCUGUCAGGGCAACGGAAGUCAAAUCACUUCGCUCUCCUGCUUAAAGUGUGAACCCCAAACUCUUCCCCUCGGCCGCCAAGGCCCCGCGUGGUCUGAGGCUGCGUACCUCUUUGGCCUGCCUCUGCUGGCCCUUUACUUUCUAGAGCUCUGGCCUCCUUUCAAAGCUCAUCAGCUUGAUCCCUCUUCCCCAGAUCUUUGCCUGCCUGCUUUUUCUGGCCAUUGAAGUUUUAGUUCACUUUGUCACCUCCUCAGAGGUCUUCUUUGACCACCCAGACCAAAGUGGUCCCCCUCCCAGUCCUUUCUUGCAUCCAUUUUAUUUCUUCCCCAGCACGGUAUGGGUCCCUGAAUUUAUUGUGUUCACAUGUUUCUUGUCCAUCUCUUCAACCAAGAAGUUAAGCUUGCUGAGGGCAUGGGACUUAUCUGUCUUUUCAUCUGAUUCCCCAGUACCCCAGGAAGGGGUCUGGCUCAGAAUAGGCACUCAAUGCAUCAUUUGUCAACUUUGUGAAUAAAGAUAGAAUGACCUCUGUCCUCAGGCUGGUGGGAGCCAGGGUGGCAGGCCUGGGAGCAAGAACUGAAGAGAUCCUGACCAACCAGCCCUUCCUUCACCCUGAGGGCACCCCCUCUCCACCACCAGGUACCAUUAGAGGCAGGUCCUCUGGGGAAAACCCUUCUCACGUGGGACACUUGAGGCCGUGGCAGGAAAAUUCUUCACCAACUUGCUUUAAAUAUCAUGUUUGGUCUUGAGUGUACGCCACUCUUUAAAACUCAAGUGUUUUAUUAAAAUAGAUGUUUAUAGGCAGUUGACUUCUUGACAGAGGGAUUGGGCAGAGGCGGUUUAAGAACCAGGAGCCACCAACAGCUAAAGAAUUGAUGAAACAUCAACGUAAAACAAUUCUAAAGUGACUAAGUAAGUCAGUAGGACACGAAACCCCUUGGCAAAAACACAAACACACAGGGAGCACACAUCUUUUCAGAAGCGCCACUCGGGCACAAAGGCAACCAUCCCCUAACUGGCCUGGAUCACGAAUCUGGGGACAUUGUUAAAACGUGGAUUCCAAGCCACCCCCCAAGUCUCAUUCCAUAGGCCCUGGGUGGGGUCCAGGUGUCUUUAUUUUUAACAAGUGCCUGUAAGAAUGGGCAAGAUUGGUGCAAGCCUACGUUCAUCCACGCUGUGUCCUCUGGCCCAACCACAGGUGGCUGGAUGGGGGUAAUGGGAGCAGGAUGAGCAACAUGUCCCUCCCUGCUACUCGGCAAGGCGGGACCUGAGGACGGGAGGUGGGGGUGCAGACCAUGGGGAGGCUGACGCACUAGAAUCCCCUCUGGGGCUUCAUUAACUGCUGCUUUCUACUGAGGUAAUGGCUGGGGGCAUCUCCUACUGACGUCACAUGCCAGUUCACAUGACAACCCUAGGGUUCAUCUUGCCUUGCCUUCUACCCCAGGCCUGAAGAUUUGGCCAGGACCUCCUCUCCACAGCAGACCCAGAGGCUGUGUGCCACGCCCAGCACACAGACCACACUCCAGAAGAGGCAGUGCCACCCUCUUCCCAGGGCCAGGAGAAAUCAGUGGAGGGCCCGAUCGCAGGAUGAAGGGGCCUCUUAAGGGAUCCCAGUGGAGAGGUGGGGAGCCAUCCCCCAAAGCUUCUGCUCCUCUGUGUCAAUGCUGGCCUCAGCUCUCACCCUUACCCUGCCCCCACCCUCUGCACUGGAAGGAACCAGUUCUGUACCUAUGGAGCAGACAUCUGUCCCCAAGAACCUUCUAGAAGAGAUGGCGACGGAAAUACGUAGAAGGAGGCACAAAUGGACCAGCUGCUGCCAAAAUGCCAACCUCUGAGCCCACUCCCCGAUCACAGCCCUGGGAGCUGCCCACUGUGGGGAGCGCUGGGACCCUCAACUGACAGACAAGGAGCCUGGUGAGCCAGACAGAAAUCAGGCGCUGGGAAAGGAAGUCUUUGAGAGACGUGGAAACUGACACCUCCGCGUUCUUCAGCUCCAGCCCAGCUCCGGAACCUCGGGAGGAGGAUGGGCAGCCCGGGCAUAGCUCUGCCUGCAGCUCGCAGCGGGGCACCCAGGGCUUGCCGAGUCUGGGAGAUGUGCACAGUGCCCCAGAACCCCCAGGCCCCUCCAGCACUCGAGUCGCCAGUGAGCCACGAAUUCCACAAAAUGUUUCGAGCACUUGCUCUAUGCUAAAUACUCAUCCUGUAACAUAUAUAAUUUUGGGGGAUACCACAGUGGUCAGGACAGAUCCAGUCUCACUCCAAGGAUCUAAUCAGGAAUCUUUCCUUCCUACACCAAGCUUUUAUAGAGGGUUCCAGAGGAGCAGGGUUUGAGCUUUAAAAAAAAAAAAAUCACCAAGAAUACCCAGGUGGAGGGCUGGGGAGAGUCUAAAGAAGAGAAAAGCCUUCGAAAAGGUUUCUUGGUUUUCAGAGAGUUAAAAUAAAGGGACCCUAAGAUGGGGGUGUUAACCCUUCCUUCUGAGACCAAACACCAUUCGCCUCCUACCUGCAGCCCCACCAGCGACACCCUCAGGCCCCACCAAAACACACCAAUGACUCCAACCAGGAGACCCCCCCGGAACACUUCCCCACUGAACCAAGGCCCAGCUCCUGACCCCACCUCAGCCAGCGUGCAGCUACAGCUAACCCACUGGUACACAAGUGGGGGCAUUUGCCUGGGGUAGAGGAAUUCAGGAGGAAAGGAGGAGGCUCAGUUGCCAUCAGAAUGACAAUUAAGGCUAUUAGGGGAAGGGGGGAGCUCAAAGCCCUCUUUGACAAAGUGCUGCAAAAAAGAAUUAUUUAAAUGUUUGUUGUUCUUUUGGCUCAGACAGAAAAUUGUUUGGCACUGGGAGUUGGGAAGCAGAGAAACCAAGAGUUUAGGUAAAAACCAAUGUUUUGGCAACUCCUGAAGAUACGUCACAAAUUAAUUGCUCUUUCUCCUCAUCUUCCUGUUCCUUGCACCCCUCCCCCCAACACCCCAACACACACCUCAGCCUGGUGGUUGCUGCCAAACAAACUUUGCAAAUGAAAAUUUCAACCAGGAAAACGGGCCUGGGGCCAAGUUCCAUUCAAAUAAGCAAAUAGCCCACACAAUGGUCUGAUUCAUCCCCAGGCCUAGUUACACAAGCCCGGCUCGGGGUAGAGAAAAUAAAUAUCAAUAUAAGUGUCCAUGCUGGGCACUGGGGACCGCAGGAAGGCCGGGGCCUUGGGGAGGGGGCUUGCAGAGCUUCUGCGGCCGGGGAGAGAGGAAGUGGGCUGGGUUGGAAUAGCGGGGUUGAGAGCACCCCCCACCCCAGUAAUGGAAAAGGUCAUA